rnacentral:ncRNA from 1 species
CCUUGAUGGUUCCCCAAAGGGCGAAAAAGCCCGGGGAUUAAAUGGGAACACGGAGGGGCCGACCCCGGAGGGGGCCUUCAACCGUGGCUGUCCCCGCAACUGUAGGCGGCGAGUUUCCGCGCCACGCAUGCCACUGGGAAACCGGGAAGGCGGCCGGAAACCAAGACCCGCAAGCCAGGAGACCUGCCAUCCG